rnacentral:rRNA from 1 species
CGACGAACUUCUUUAUCACCGAGUGCUUGCACUCACCGAUAAAGAGUUGAGUGGCGAACGGGUGAGUAACACGUGGGCAACCUGCCCAAAAGAGGGGGAUAACACUUGGAAACAGGUGCUAAUACCGCAUAACCAUAGUUACCGCAUGGUAACUAUGUAAAAGGUGGCUAUGCUACCGCUUUUGGAUGGGCCCGCGACGCAUUAGCUAGUUGGUGGGGUAAAGGCUUACCAAGGCAAUGAUGCGUAGCCGAACUGAGAGGUUGAUCGGCCACAUUGGGACUGAGACACGGCCCAAACUCCUACGGGAGGCAGCAGUAGGGAAUCUUCCACAAUGGGCGAAAGCCUGAUGGAGCAACGCCGCGUGGGUGAAGAAGGUCUUCGGAUCGUAAAACCCUGUUGUUAGAGAAGAAAGUGCGUGAGAGUAACUGUUCACGUUUCGACGGUAUCUAACCAGAAAGCCACGGCUAACUACGUGCCAGCAGCCGCGGUAAUACGUAGGUGGCAAGCGUUAUCCGGAUUUAUUGGGCGUAAAGAGAACGCAGGCGGUCUUUUAAGUCUGAUGUGAAAGCCUUCGGCUUAACCGGAGUAGUGCAUUGGAAACUGGGAGACUUGAGUGCAGAAGAGGAGAGUGGAACUCCAUGUGUAGCGGUGAAAUGCGUAGAUAUAUGGAAGAACACCAGUGGCGAAAGCGGCUCUCUGGUCUGUAACUGACGCUGAGGUUCGAAAGCGUGGGUAGCAAA